AUUGAACGCUGGCGGCAUGCCUUACACAUGCAAGUCGAACGGCAGCACGGGUGCUUGCACCUGGUGGCGAGUGGCGAACGGGUGAGUAAUACAUCGGAACAUGUCCUGUCGUGGGGGAUAGCCCGGCGAAAGCCGGAUUAAUACCGCAUACGAUCUACGGAUGAAAGCGGGGGCCCUUCGGGCCUCGCGCUAUCGGGUUGGCCGAUGGCGGAUUAGCUAGUUGGUGGGGUAAAGGCCUACCAAGGCGACGAUCAGUAGCUGGUCUGAGAGGACGACCAGCCACACUGGGACUGAGACACGGCCCAGACUCCUACGGGAGGCAGCAGUGGGGAAUUUUGGACAAUGGGCGAAAGCCUGAUCCAGCAAUGCCGCGUGUGUGAAGAAGGCCUUCGGGUUGUAAAGCACUUUUGUCCGGAAAGAAAUCCUUGGCCCUAAUACGGUCGGGGGAUGACGGUACCGGAAGAAUAAGCACCGGCUAACUACGUG
rnacentral:rRNA from 1 species